rnacentral:misc_RNA from 1 species
UCUCCGUUGGUGAACCAGCGGAGGGAUCAUUACAGGACUCGCAAGACUCCUACAACCCUGUGAACUUAACUAUAAGCACGUUGCUUCGGCGGGUGUCUCGGAGGGGGUUCUCCCUCCCCGAGACGCUAAACCCGCCGGCAGUCUACUAUACUCUGUCUCUUUGCGUUGGCAUCUCGAGUACAAUCAAACAAGUUAAAACUUUCAACAACGGAUCUCUUGGUUCUGACAUCGAUGAAGAACGCAGC